rnacentral:rRNA from 1 species
GGAUGAACGCUGGCGGCGUGCUUAACACAUGCAAGUCGAACGGUGAAGCCCCGCUUGCGGGGUGGAUCAGUGGCGAACGGGUGAGUAACACGUGAGCAACCUGCCCUGGACUCUGGGAUAAGCGCUGGAAACGGCGUCUAAUACUGGAUAUGAGCUCUCAUCGCAUGGUGGGGGUUGGAAAGAUUUUUUGGUCUGGGAUGGGCUCGCGGCCUAUCAGCUUGUUGGUGAGGUAAUGGCUCACCAAGGCGUCGACGGGUAGCCGGCCUGAGAGGGUGACCGGCCACACUGGGACUGAGACACGGCCCAGACUCCUACGGGAGGCAGCAGUGGGGAAUAUUGCACAAUGGGCGGAAGCCUGAUGCAGCAACGCCGCGUGAGGGAUGACGGCCUUCGGGUUGUAAACCUCUUUUAGCAAGGAAGAAGCUUUUGUGACGGUACUUGCAGAAAAAGCGCCGGCUAACUAC